rnacentral:rRNA from 1 species
GACGAACGCUGGCGGCGUGCUUAACACAUGCAAGUCGAACGGAAAGGCCCUGGUUUUGUGGGGUGCUCGAGUGGCGAACGGGUGAGUAACACGUGAGUAACCUGCCCUUGACUUUGGGAUAACUUCAGGAAACUGGGGCUAAUACCGGAUAGGAGCUCCUGCUGCAUGGUGGGGGUUGGAAAGUUUCGGCGGUUGGGGAUGGACUCGCGGCUUAUCAGCUUGUUGGUUGGGCAGUGGCUUACCAAGGCUUUGACGGGUAGCCGGCCUGAGAGGGUGACCGGCCACAUUGGAACUGAGAUGCGGCCCAGACUCCUACGGGAGGCAGCAGUGGGGAAUAUUGCACAAUGGGCGGAAGCCUGAUGCAGCAACGCCGCGUGCGGGAUGACGGCCUUCGGUUUGUAAACCGCUUUCGCCUGUGACGAAGCGUGAGUGACGGUAAUGGGUAAAGAAGCACCGGCUAACUACGUG